rnacentral:rRNA from 1 species
AUUGAACGCUGGCGGCGUGCCUAAUACAUGCAAGUCGAGCGGAUGAAAGAGGAGCUUGCUCCUCUAGAUUCAGCGGCGGACGGGUGAGUAACACGUGGGCAACCUGCCCUGUAGGUUGGGAUAACUCCGGGAAACCGGGGCUAAUACCGAAUAAUCCUUCGGACCUCAUGGUCCGAUGUUGAAAGACGGUUUCGGCUGGCACUACAGGAUGGGCCCGCGGCGCAUUAGCUAGUUGGUGAGGUAACGGCUCACCAAGGCCACGAUGCGUAGCCGACCUAAGAGGGGGAGCGGCCACACUGGGACCGAGACACGGCCCAGACUCCUACGGGAGGCAGCAGUAGGGAAUCUUCGACAAUGGACGAAAGUCUGAUGGAGCAACGCCGCGUGAGUGAAGAAGGCUCUCGGGUCGUAAAACUCUGUUGUGAGGGAAGAACAAGUACCGGAGUAACUGCCGGUGCCUUGACGGUACCUCAUUAGAAAGCCACGGCUAACUACGUGCCAGCCGCCGCAGUAA